GCGACAACAACAGACGUUUCUUUGUGAGUGGGUCGAAACAAAUGGAGAUUUUCUCUGCAGAAAUUUUUUUCCCACCGACAAAAACUUCUUUCUCCGACAAGUCUUUAGUCUCUCCGUCGAAGGCGAUUUGGGAGGUGAUUUCGACGUUUCAGUUUCUCUCACAGGUUCUCUCUGACAGCUGUGGUUUCUCCAGCGGCUUCUGGAUCUCUGCGACGGUCUAUCCACGUAGUUGGUGUUAACCUAAUCUCAGUCUCUAUCCUAGAUCUUCUGUUUCUCUGAGAGUUGUGAGUUAAUGAUCGAUGGGGUAUUUGAUUUGUUGAUUUGGUUCAGUUUUAAUCAAAUUUUCUGGUAGUAUUUGAGUAGGAAAUCGAUUGAAAGUGCUUUAGGGUUUUGAAAAAUUCGGGGUUUAGAGUUGAUUUUUUUGCGAGAAACUUUGUACGUCUGUUUUCUAAUCGAAUCUGCUAAGGUAUUUUGUUGUUCUUGAUGUUUACUUUUUAAACUCAAAUUCCUCUUUUUGUUCGUUUUGUUCUCUGGUUUUAAAUCGAAUAUGUUUAACUUGUUUUGUUGUCUUUGUUCAGCACCAUACCGAUCAGCUACAACAAUAAUUCAUCUUCCGUAGCAAGCUUCAACAGUAGUUGUGCUCGAACUGAUGGGAAUUUUGGGAUUCCUUUUUUUAUUGUGGCCGAACCCCAAUCAUUGAAGAAUUCACAGCUGCAGCGACAUUCGGAAGGAAGUUCUACACAUGUCCUGGAAUAUUGGGAGAGAUGCGAGCUAAGAGACUUGCUGGAGUAGUCUUCUGUCAAAGGUGAAUACAUGUUGAAGUAAGGCAACCCCAAAGUGGGAUAAAGCUCGUGACUGAUUUUAUCGAAUUUAAUAUUUACCCAUGGAUCUUAUCUUAAAAGCUCGCAUUCCGUGAUGGGAUCCUUCAGCUCUGAUCUGAUCGAAUUGGAGACAUAAUUCAGUAAUGGGAUGAGACUAAACCUUUGGUCUAUGACAAAUUUAGGAAUUCUUCUGAUGCUAGACUUGCUUAAAAACAUCUCUCAAAAGCCCAAGCAGUGGCAAAAACUGCUAAAAAAGUGUGAUGAGGAAUGGGAUGUGCAAAUAAAUUACAAGAACAAUACAGAACUGUAGGUGCUGUUUGCCAGGAAGCAUUUGCUCAUCUACAAGAUUUGAAGAAACAACAACGAGAAAAAGUACCAAAUAGCUUUUGGAACCGGACAUGUACUUAGGAAUACUUACAUCUAUGUUUUAGAUUAAUCCUCCACUUUUGAUAUUUCUUUCAUAUUGCAGAACAAAUAUUUCUUCAAGUACAAAGAUGAU